UUUCAGACAGUACUUGAAGUCAUACGAGAUGAAGACUGCCCUUCUAUGAUUGUGCCAAGCAGACCUUUUCUUCAACGGUGCUUCCCCGAUUUCAUUACGAGAAAUGGAACUUUAACUGUAGCCAACCAGACCAUCUUCAAAGACGGUGACAAUAACAAGAGAAGUGUCAACGACCUUAAAGAUGCUGCCAAGGUUGCCAACUUUGCUCCCAGAGAGCUCUGGACAGAAAUUACAGG